UGCGUUGUAGCUCAGUAGGUAGAGCGCCUGGCUGUUACCCAGGGUGCCGCGGGUUCGAAGCCUGCCAACGCAGCCA
rnacentral:tRNA from 1 species